rnacentral:rRNA from 1 species
UACAGAGGGUGCGAGCGUUAAUCGGAAUUACUGGGCGUAAAGGGUGCGUAGGUGGUUUGAUAAGUUAGGUGUGAAAGUCCUGGGCUUAACCUGGGGAUUGCGCCUGAUACUGUCAGGCUAGAGUACUGUAGAGGGAAGUGGAAUUUCCGGUGUAGCGGUGAAAUGCGUAGAUAUCGGAAGGAACACCAGUGGCGAAGGCGACUUCCUGGACAGAUACUGACACUGAGGCACGAAAGCGUGGGGAGCAAACAGGAUUAGAUACCCUGGUAGUCCAUGCUGUAAACGAUGAGAACUGGCUGUUGGGUGCGCAAGCAUUUAGUAGCGAAGCUAACGCGUUAAGUUCUCCGCCUGGGGAGUACGGCCGCAAGGUUAAA